rnacentral:rRNA from 1 species
UACGUAGGGUCCGAGCGUUGUCCGGAAUUAUUGGGCGUAAAGAGCGUGUAGGCGGCCAGGUAGGUCUGCUGUGAAAACUCGAGGCUCAACCUCGAGACGUCGGCGGAAACCAUCUGGCUAGAGUCCGGAAGAGGAGAGUGGAAUUCCUGGCGUAGCGGUGAAAUGCGCAGAUAUCAGGAAGAACACCCGUGGCGAAGGCGGCUCUCUGGGACGGUACUGACGCUGAGACGCGAAAGCGUGGGGAGCGAACAGG